UAAAGAGGUGCCCCAAGUCAAUCGUCUUGCCAAUGGAAAACGUUGAACCCAAGAUGUAAGAAUUAGCCAACGAAGACUAGGGUGGGAAUACCAAAGGCUUCUAGAGAAGAAAGGAGUUGGAUCAAAACAUAGCCAACCUUUGCACUGAAAUGUUUGACUAUUUAUCAAGCUGCAAAGCAGAUAUUCAAUAUUCCCACAUGCGUUGUCUUUU
rnacentral:lncRNA from 1 species